GAUGUGUGCAGGUAAUGUGACAAUGGGAUUACCACGCUUUAGACAGAUUCAAAAGGGAUUUUUUUCUUCCUCCCUCUUUUGGCCAAUGAGGACACAGCAUGGAGGAGGCUAACUGCCAAUGAGGAACUGAAUCUUAAGGCUCCUUGGUCUUGGACUUCCAGCCUCCAGAACUGGUGAGGAGAAUGCUUACAAUCUGGUUCACAAUUUCCUGAGGUCCUGUUGCAGUGAACGACUACAUUUGGUUGAAGAAAGCAAAAACAAAUAUGCACAAAGAGAUGAGAAAGAUGAGGAGAAGGUCAACAAGCAGGAAGAAUUUUCCGCACAGAACGGGCACUGACAUGCAAGCCCACCAAGUGGACCAUGGAGAACUUCAUUAUUCCAGGUCACAGACUUCCUGUAGCUGGACAGCUUCCCCUGAUGCUUCUACCUUCUGACAACCACGUGCCACCUUUACCUUCUGCAAACACAGGAACCUCGCCAGCCUGGAGAAUUCUGCUGUCUGAACUGAACAAAAAUACCUCUCAUCUCUCAGUCUGAAUGCAGCCCUGAAAACCAGAACUCACUGCACCUUUAGUGCUACUCACAUUUCUGCAAUUGUUACCUCUGCUUGUAGGAAGGCUGGCUGGCCUCUGUAAAGCUAGAAUAUUCCAAACAGGUCUGUUCUUAACCAAGGAAGACCUAUGGCUUUGAGCCUGCUUUCCUCAAUAUAUAGACCAGACAAAUAGAAACACCAGCCAGGGCCUCCGGCACAUGGGGAGCCAAGGGCAGGGAGUGCCGGUCUUCCGGCUGGCUGGCUUCCUGCCUCGUAGGCCUCCAGAGGGAGGGCUCCAGGCAC